AUACAGAGGGUGCAAGCGUUAUUCGGAAUUACUGGGCGUAAAGUGCGCGUAGGCGGAUGAUUAAGUCAGUUGUGAAAGCCCUGGGCUCAACCUAGGAACUGCAUCUGAUACUGGUCGUCUAGAGUUUAAGAGAGGGAAGUGGAAUUCCAGGUGUAGCAGUGAAAUGCGUAUAUAUCUGGAGGAACAUCAGUGGCGAAGGCGACUUCCUGGCUUAAAACUGACGCUGAGGUGCGAAAGCGUGGGUAGCGAACGGGAUUAGAAACCCUAGUAGUCC
rnacentral:rRNA from 1 species